rnacentral:rRNA from 1 species
CCUNAUACAUGCAAGUCGAGGGGCAGCAGGGGUAGCAAUACUCGCUGGCGACCGGCGCANGGGUGCGUAACGCGUAUGCGAUCUACCUAUUACUGGAGAAUAGCCUUCCGAAAGGAAGAUUAAUGCUCCAUAACAUUACGAUGUGGCAUCACAAUGUAAUUAAAGUUCCGACGGUAAUAGAUGAGCAUGCGUGACAUUAGCUAGUUGGUGAGGUAAUGGCUCACCAAGGCUACGAUGUCUAGGGGCUCUGAGAGGAUUGUCCCCCACACUGGUACUGAGACACGGACCAGACUCCUACGGGAGGCAGCAGUAAGGAAUAUUGGUCAAUGGAGGCAACUCUGAACCAGCCAUGCCGCGUGAAGGAUGAAGGCCCUAUGGGUUGUAAACUUCUUUUGUAUGGGAAGAAACCCUGAUACGUGUAUCAGGCUGACGGUACCAUAAGAAUAAGGAUCGGCUAACUCCGUGCCAGCAGCCGCGGUAAUACGGAGGAUCCAAGCGUUAUCCGGAUUUAUUGGGUUUAAAGGGUGCGUAGGCGGCUUUGUAAGUCAGUGGUGAAAGCCUGUCGCUUAACGACAGAACUGCCAUUGAUACUGCAGAGCUUGAAUAUGUUUGAAGUGGGCGGAAUGUGUAGUGUAGCGGUGAAAUGCUUAGAUAUUACACAGAACACCAAUUUGCGAAGGCAGCUCACUAAACCAUUAUUGACGCUGAGGGCACGAAAGUGUGGGGAUCAAACAGGAUUAGAUACCCUGG